rnacentral:rRNA from 1 species
AGUGGCGGACGGGUGAGUAACACUGGGUGACCUACCCCACAGUGAGGAAUACCGGCGAGAAAUCGCCGACAAGACCGCAUAGGCUUUCGUCGAGCAAAGGUUCGCUUUGGGAUGGGCCUGUGGCCGAUUAGCUGGUUGGUGGGGUAAUGGCCUACCAAGGCGACGAUCGAUAGCUGGUCUGAGAGGACGAUCAGCCACACUGGGACUGAGAACGGCCCAGACUCCUACGGGGGGCAGCAGUGAGGACUUUUCCGCAAUGGGCGCAAGCCUGACGGAGCAACGCCGCGUGCAGGAGGAAGCUUUUCGGAGUGUAAACUGCUUUUCUGUGGGAAGAGGGACGGUACCACAGGAAGAAGCCCCGGCUAACUACGUGCCAGCAGCCGCGGUAAUACGUAGGGGGCGAGCGUUGUCCGGAGUUACUGGGCGUCAAGGGCAUGU